GCCGGGGGUGGUGGCGCACACCUGUAGUCCCAGCUACUUGGGAGGCUGAGGCAGGGGAAUUGCUUGAAUCCAGGAGGUGGAGGUUGCAGUGAGCUGAGAUCGUGCCACUGCACUUCAGCCUGGUGACAGAGCAAGACUCUGUCUCAA
rnacentral:sRNA from 1 species